UACAGAGGGUGCGAGCGUUAAUCGGAAUUACUGGGCGUAAAGCGUGCGUAGACGGUAGCGUAAGUCAGAUGUGAAAGCCCCGGGCUUAACCUGGGAAUGGCAUUUGGGACUGCAAGGCUUGAGUGCGGCAGAGGAGACUGGAAUUCCUGGUGUAGCAGUGAAAUGCGUAGAUAUCAGGAGGAAUACCGAUGGCGAAGGCAGGUCUCUGGGCUGACACUGACGCUCAUGCACGAAAGCGUGGGGAGCAAACAGG
rnacentral:rRNA from 1 species